rnacentral:rRNA from 1 species
CCUACGGGUGGCAGCAGUGAGGAAUAUUGCACAAUGGGGGAAACCCUGAUGCAGCGACGCAGCGUGAGUGAGGACGUAUCUCUGUAUGUAAAGCUUUAUCAGCAGGGAAGAAAAUGACGGUAUCUAACUAAGAAGCCCCGGCUAACUUCGUGCCAGCAGCCGCGGUAAUACGUAGGGGGCAAGCGUUAUCCGGAUUUACUGGGUGUAAACGGAGCGUAGGCGGGUAAUCAAGUCAGAAGUGAAAACCCAGGGCUCAACCUUGAGACUGCUUUUGAAACUGAGUAGCUAGAGUGCAGGAGAGGUAGGCGGAAUUCCUAGUGUAGCGGUGAAAUGCGUAGAUAUUAGGAGGAACACCAGUGGCGAAGGCGGCUUACUGGACUGUAACUGACGUUGAGGCUCGAAAGCGUGGGGAGCAAACAGGAUUAGAUACCCGGGUAGUC